rnacentral:misc_RNA from 1 species
GGGACACAACUCCUGGCUGCAGCCCCCUGCACCCUGGCUUUCGGGUCCCCACUGGAAUGGAAACCGGUUCAAACGGGCGCCUGUCCCUGUUGCCAGCCUUUUCAUCGAAAAAGAUAGGCCAAAUUUUUGAGUGGUGAACGGUCGACGGCGAGAUUGUGGGAGAAGGCAAAUAUGGGUAUGAGUGCCGAAAAAGGGGCGAUGGAGCUGAUUUAGGUGGGUUCAUGGAUGGAGGCGUGGAGAUGGAGAAUGUAGGAUGUGAUGCGUCAUUUCUCUGGAAAGGCAGUCGAUGGCCGCCGGAACCAACGUCCUACAUCUCCUAUAUGGCAGCAAUCUUUCUUGGGCAUGUUUUGAUGAAUUUUGAGUUUAUGGAUUUCAUGUUGGGUUUUGUUGAAUUUUGAGUGUAUGCAUUUCAUGUUUCUGGGUUUUGUUUAAAAU